rnacentral:rRNA from 1 species
GACGAACGCUGGCGGCGUGCUUAACACAUGCAAGUCGAACGGAAAGGCCCUGCUUUUGUGGGGUGCUCGAGUGGCGAACGGGUGAGUAACACGUGAGUAACCUGCCCUUGACUUUGGGAUAACUUCAGGAAACUGGGGCUAAUACCGGAUAGGAGCUCCUGCUGCAUGGUGGGGGUUGGAACGUUUCGGCGGUUGGGGAUGGACUCGCGGCUUAUCAGCUUGUUGGUGGGGUAGUGGCUUACCAAGGCUUUGACGGGUAGCCGGCCUGAGAGGGUGACCGGCCACAUUGCGACUGCGAUACGGCCCAGACUCCUACGGGAGGCAGCAGUGGGGAAUAUUGCACAAUGGGCGGAAGCCUGAUGCAGCAACGCCGCGUGCGUGAUGACGGCCUUCGGGUUGUAAACCGCUUUCGCCUGUGACGAAGCGUGAGUGACGGUAAUGGGUAAAGAAGCACCGGCUAACUACGUG